GAUGAACGCUGGCGGCGUGCCUAAUACAUGCAAGUCGAGCGAACGGACGAGAAGCUUGCUUCUCUGAUGUUAGCGGCGGACGGGUGAGUAACACGUGGAUAACCUACCUAUAAGACUGGGAUAACUUCGGGAAACCGGAGCUAAUACCGGAUAAUAUUUUGAACCGCAUUGUUCAAAAGUGAAAGACGGUCUUGCUGUCACUUAUAGAUGGAUCCGCGCUGCAUUAGCUAGUUGGUAAGGUAACGGCUUACCAAGGCAACGAUGCAUAGCCGACCUGAGAGGGUGGUCGGCCACACUGGAAGUGAGACACGGUCCAGACUCCUACGGGAGGCAGCAGUAGGGAAUCUUCCGCAAUGGGCGAAAGCCUGACGGAGCAACGCCGCGUGAGUGAUGAAGGUCUUCGGAUCGUAAAACUCUGUUAUUAGGGAAGAACAUAUGUGUAAGUAACUGUGCACAUCUUGACGGUACCUAAUCAGAAAGCCACGGCUAACUACGUG
rnacentral:rRNA from 1 species